rnacentral:lncRNA from 1 species
UGGGGUCUGGGGGAGUAAGAUGUACGCAGUCCAUACCUCUACCUCUAAAGAAGUAGAAAGGCUGUUUCCGAUAGACCCCCGGCUCAAGGCACGAGAUACCACACAAACACAUAGUAAAGCACAACACAAGAUUACAUAACAUAAAUACGGCACCCAUAAGUAAUAUAAAACAGAGAAAAGCACACAGAUUCGUAAUAAAACAUGAAACACGGAAUCAUAACGGACAUAAAACCCCCACCAAGUAAUUCCCUAGACUAGCGACUCAAACUGGCCCUAGUCCUCUGCCCUAAUUCGCGUCCUCCAGACCUUCCUAUCUAGGGUCAUGUUCUCGGUGAGCUGUAACUGCUCCAUGUCCCGCCUAAUCACCUCACCCCAGUACUUCUUCGGCCUACCCCUAUCCCGUCUAAAACCAUCCAACGCUAGCCUCUCACACCUACGGACCGGGGCAUCCAUGCCCCUCCUCUUCACGUGUCCGAACCAUCUCAGUCUGGCUUCCCGCAUCUUGCACUCCACUGGAGUCACACCAACCUUCUCCCGGAUAGUCUCAUUCCGCACUCUAUCCCCUCUAGUCAGCCCACACAUCCAACGCAAC